UUUUUUACCUGGAAGAGGAAAUGCCAUGAAUACUGAAAUGGUUUUCCAAGGGUAAGGCUUAUCCAUUCUAUCACAAGUACACUGACCUUCUCAAUUUCUUGAAAUGUUGGAAAAACCACUGUAUGAUUUGUGGUUGGGUCACAGGACUGCAUUUCAAGCUCCCCUGGC
rnacentral:snRNA from 1 species